UGGGGAAUAUUGCACAAUGGGCGCAAGCCUGAUGCAGCCAUGCCGCGUGUGUGAAGAAGGCCUUCGGGUUGUAAAGCACUUUCAGCGAGGAGGAAGGUGGUGAGCUUAAUACGCUCAUCAAUUGACGUUACUCGCAGAAGAAGCACCGGCUAACUCCGUGCCAGCAGCCGCGGUAAUACGGAGGGUGCAAGCGUUAAUCGGAAUUACUGGGCGUAAAGCGCACGCAGGCGGUUUGUUAAGUCAGAUGUGAAAUCCCCGGGCUCAACCUGGGAACUGCAUUUGAAACUGGCAAGCUAGAUCUCGUAGAGGGGGGUAGAAUUCCAGGUGUAGCGGUGAAAUGCGUAGAGAUCUGGAGGAAUACCGGUGGCGAAGG
rnacentral:rRNA from 1 species